AUUGAACGCUGGCGGCAGGCCUAACACAUGAAAGUCGAACGAGUGGCGGACGGGAGAGUAAUGUCUGGGAACUGCCUGAUGGAGGGGGACAACUACUGGAAACGGUAGAUAAUACCGCAUACUAUCGGAUAACCCAUAUGGGAUUAGCUAGUAGGUGAGGUAAUGGCUCAACUAGGCGCAGAUCCCUAGAUGGUCUGAGAGGAUGAUCAGCCACACUGUGACUGAGACACGGCCCUGACUCCUACGGAGGCAGCAGUGGGGAAUAUUGCACGAUGGGCGCAAGCCUGAUGCUGCCAUGCCGCGUGUAUGUAGGAGGCCCUAAGGUUGUAAAGUACUUUCAGUCGGGAGGCGUUACCGACAGAAGAAGCACCGGCUAACUCCGUCCCAGCAGCCGCGGUAAUUC
rnacentral:rRNA from 1 species